rnacentral:misc_RNA from 1 species
CUACCCUCAAGCGCAAGCUUGGUGUUGGGGAACGCCCUGCUAACGCGGCGGCGGCCCUUAAAUCCAUCGGCGGUGCCGGUGCGGCCUGGAGCGCAGCAGCAAUGCAGCUUCCCGAGCCCGCCUGGAACCAGCCGGACAAAUGAAACUUCUUUCUCA